GUUGCUGCCCAGACCGACUCUUUCCCCGCCUCAGACCCACAGAUCGCUGCCUCUUGCACGAAGGGAGGUGUUCCCGCCAUCAGAUUGGUUAUAUAACCAUCCCACGCCAUGAUUCAACUGCACUGAUGAAUAUAUACACCUAUAAACUAGGGGGAGAAGAGAGGUGGACGAGAGGGAGAGAGGAGAGGGAGAGAGGUGGGGUGGACGAGAGGGAGAGAGGUGAAGGAGAGAGGUGGGGGGUGGACGAGAGGGAGAGAGGUGGGGUGGACGAGAGGGAGAGAGGUGGGGUGGAAGAGAGGGAGAGAGGUGGGGUGGAAGAGAGGGAGAGAGGUGAGGUGGAAGAGAGGGGGAGAGGUGAGGUGGAGGAGAGAGGGAGAGAGAUGAGGUGGAGGAGAGAGGGAGAGAGAUGGGGUGGAAGAGAGAUGAGGUGGGAGAGAGGGGGAGAGGUGAGGUGGAGGAGAGAGGGAGAGAGGUGAGGUGGGAGAGAGGGGGAGAGGUGAGGUGGAGGAGAGAGGGAGAGAGAUGAGGUGGAGGAGAGAGGGAGAGAGGUGAGGUGGAGGAGAGAGGGGGAGAGGUGAGGUGGAGGAGAGAGGGAGAGAGAUGAGGUGGAGGAGAGAGGGAGAGAGGUGAGAUGGACGAGAGAAACCAACAUCCUUAACAUUCAACAUCCCGAGGCUACUGCAUUAAAAUCUUGCACAGUGUGAGUCAAAAGGUAGAAUGCAACACAAAUCACCACGGAUAACAAAUAGUCAUAAAGACGUGAAGGCCGAUGUGGAGAACUAUAAAGGUCUUACCUGAGCGGCUCGCAGG
rnacentral:lncRNA from 1 species